rnacentral:rRNA from 1 species
GACGAACGCUGGCGGCGUGCUUAACACAUGCAAGUCGAACGGAAAGGCCUGCUUUCCCUUGUGGAUUGCGGGUACUCGAGUGGCGAACGGGUGAGUAACACGUGAGUGAUCUGCCCCCAACUUGGGUAUAAGCCUGGGAAACUGGGUCUAAUUCCCGAUAGGACUGCAGGGUGGUGCCUGUGGUGGAAAACGAUUUUCUAGUGGUUGGGGGUGAGCUCGCGGCCUAUCAGCUUGUUGGUGGGGUAAUGGCCUACCAAGGCGGCGACGGGUAGCCGGCCUGAGAGGGUGGACGGCCACAUUGGGACUGAGAUACGGCCCAGACUCCUACGGGAGGCAGCAGUGGGGAAUAUUGCACAAUGGGCGGAAGCCUGAUGCAGCGACGCCGCGUGGGGGAUGACGGCCUUCGGGUGGUAAACUCCUUUCGACCGCGAGGAAGCCACCUGGUUGGAAGGGUGGUGACGGUAGUGGUAGAAGAAGCACCGGCUAACUACGUG